AACGCAUAUUGCGCUCUUUGGUAUUCCGAAGAGCAUGCUUGUUUGAGUAUCAGUAAACACCUCAAAGCCUUUUUUUUGUUAAAAAGGAUUUGGACUUGAGCAAUCCCAACAUUUUUUAAGUAAAGUGGCGGGUUGCUUGAAAUGCAGGUGCAGCUGGACAUUCUCCUGAGCUAAAAGCAUAUUCAUUUAGUCCCGUCAAACGGAUUAUUACUUUUGCUGCAGCUAAUAUAAAGGGAGUUUGACCAUUUUGGCUGACUGAUGCAGGAUUUUCACAAGAGUACUUCAAAACCACUCUUGUUAAACUCGAUCUCAAAUCAAGUAAGACUACCCGCUGAACUUAA
rnacentral:misc_RNA from 3 species